rnacentral:rRNA from 2 species
AUUGCCCUAGUAACGGCGAGUGAAGCGGCAACAGCUCAAAUUUGAAAUCUGGCCCUAGCGGUCCGAGUUGUAAUUUGCAGAGGAUGCUUUUGGUGCGGUGCCUUCCGAGUUCCCUGGAACGGGACGCCAGAGAGGGUGAGAGCCCCGUACGGUUGGACGCCUACCCUAUAUAUAGCUCCUUCGACGAGUCGAGUAGUUUGGGAAUGCUGCUCUAAAUGGGAGGUAAAUUUCUUCUAAAGCUAAAUACCGGCCAGAGACCGAUAGCGCACAAGUAGAGUGAUCGAAAGAUGAAAAGCACUUUGAAAAGAGGGUUAAAUAGCACGUGAAAUUGUUGAAAGGGAAGCGUUUGCGACCAGACCUUCUCCAGGCGGAACAUCCGGUGUUCUCACCGGUGCACUUCGCCUGGUCUAGGCCAGCAUCGGUUUCCUUAGGGGGAUAAAGGCCUGGGGAACGUAGCUCUUUAGGGAGUGUUAUAGCCCCUAGCGUAAUACCCCUCGGGGGACCGAGGACCGCGCUUCGGCAAGGAUGCUGGCGUAAUGGUCGUCAACGACCCGUCUUGAAACACGGACCAAGGAGUCGAACAUUUGUGCGAGUGUUUGGGUGUCAAACCCUCACGCGUAAUGAAAGUGAACGGAGGUGAGAGCCCUUAGGGGUACAUCAUCGACCGAUCCUGAUGUCUUCGGAUGGAUUUGAGUAAGAGCAUAACUGUUCGGACCCGAAAGAUGGUGAACUAUGCGUGGAUAGGGUGAAGCCAGAGGAAACUCUGGUGGAGGCUCGCAGCGGUUCUGACGUGCAAAUCGAUCGUCAAAUCUGCGCAUGGGGGCGAAAGACUUAUCGAACCAUUAAACCAGCGGUAAAUUUUGAUUUACU